AUACGGAAGGUGCGAGCGUUAUCCGGAUUCAUUGGGUUUAAAGGGAGCGUAGGCGGAGCGCCAAGUCAGCUGUGAAAUCCCGCGGCUCAACCGUGGAACUGCAGUUGAAACUGGCGCCCUUGAGUGCACAUGAGGAUGGCGGAAUUCGUGGUGUAGCGGUGAAAUGCUUAGAUAUCACGAAGAACCCCGAUUGCGAAGGCAGCUGUCUGGGGUGCCACUGACGCUGAGGCUCGAAAGUGCGGGUAUCAAACAGGACUAGAUACCCUGGUAGUCCGCACAGUAAACGAUGGACACUCGUGGUCGGCGACACACUGCCGGUCACCAAGCGAAAGCGAUAAGUGUCCCACCUGGGGAGUACGCCGGCAACGGUGAAACUCAAAGGAAUUGACGGGG
rnacentral:rRNA from 1 species